UGGCGCGUAGCUCAGCGGGAGAGCGCUCGGUUUACACCCGAGAGGUCGCGGGUUCGACACCCGCCGCGCCAA
rnacentral:tRNA from 1 species